ensembl:snRNA U6 U6 spliceosomal RNA
GAGCUCACUUUGGCAGGACAUAUACUAAAAUCAGAACAAUACAGAGAAGAUUAACAUGGCCCCUGAGCAAAGAUGACAUGCAAAUUUGUGAAGCAUUUCAUGUUUUC